GGAAUCAGGACCAAGUGCUGCCCAAGACAGGAGGGAGGAAGGCAGACAGAGAGGGAAGGAGACAUUAGAGAGGUAACUCAGAACAGACUGCGACUCUACGGAAGAAAACAGGCUGCAACGACAACAGUCAGAGGGCCAACAGAGGAGCCUUCAGACAAGAACUACAGGAUCUCCUUUCAACACUGUGUGCUCUGAAACCCAGGUCACUCCUCUCCCCAUUCCUUUGCUCCUGAGGAGCUCCAUGGAAAGCUGAAAUCCAGUAAGGUUUGGACAUCAAAUGUAAAUUCUAGGACUAAGUGCGUAGGGAAGGAGACAUUUCCAUCCAAAGUCUUUACUGUGUGGGGGUGAGGCCCUGGCACAGGCUGCCCAGAGAAGCUGUGGCUGCUCCAACCCUGGAAGUGUCCAAGGCCAGGCUGGAGAGAGCUUGGAGCUACCUGUGAUAGUGGAAGUUGUCUGUCCACAGCGGGGAGUUGCAGUGAGAUGAGCUUUAUGGCCCUUCCCAAUGCAAACCAUUUUGUGAUUCUAUGAUUAAAUUCUUGUUAAAACUCC